rnacentral:rRNA from 1 species
AUUGAACGCUGGCGGCAGGCUUAACACAUGCAAGUCGAGCGAGCGGCGGACGGGUGAGUAAUGUCUGGGAAACUGCCUGAUGGAGGGGGAUAACUACUGGAAACGGUAGCUAAUACUGCAUACCAUCAGAUGUGCCCAGAUGGGAUUAGCUAGUAGGUGGGGUAAUGGCUCACCUAGGCGACGAUCCCUAGCUGGUCUGAGAGGAUGACCGGCAACACUGGAACUGAGACACGGUCCAGACUCCUACGGGAGGCAGCAGUGGGGAAUAUUGGACAAUGGGCGCAAGUCUGAUGCAGCCAUGCCGCGUGAGUGAAGAAGGCUUUCGGGUUGUAAAGCACUUUCAGCGGGGAGGCGGUACUCGCAGAAGAAGCACCGGCUAACUCCGUGCCAGCAGCCGCGGUAAUAC